rnacentral:rRNA from 1 species
GACGAACGCUGGCGGCGUGCUUAACACAUGCAAGUCGAACGGUAAGGCCCUUCGGGGUACACGAGUGGCGAACGGGUGAGUAACACGUGGGUGAUCUGCCCUGCACUUCGGGAUAAGCCUGGGAAACUGGGUCUAAUACCGGAUAGGACCCUGGGAUGCAUGUCCUGGGGUGGAAAGCUUUUGCGGUGUGGGAUGGGCCCGCGGCCUAUCAGCUUGUUGGUGGGGUGAUGGCCUACCAAGGCGACGACGGGUAGCCGGCCUGAGAGGGUGACCGGCCACACUGGGACUGAGAUACGGCCCAGACUCCGACGGGAGGCAGCAGUGGGGAAUAUUGCACAAUGGGCGCAAGCCUGAUGCAGCGACGCCGCGUGAGGGAUGACGGCCUUCGGGUUGUAAACCUCUUCCAGCACCGACGAAGCGCAAGUGACGGUAGGUGCAGAAGAAGGACCGGCCAACUACGUGCCAGCCGCCGCAGUAA